rnacentral:rRNA from 1 species
AUUGAACGCUAGCGGGAGGCUUUACACAUGCAAGUCGAACGAGUGGCGGAAGGGUGAGUAAUGUAUGGGGACUGCCCGAUAGAGGGGGAUAACUACUGGAAACGGUAGCUACUAACGCAUACUAUCGGAUAACCCAUAUGGGAUUAGCUAGUAGGUAAGGUAAUGGCUCACCAAGGCGACGAUCCGUAGCUGGUCUGAGAGGAUGCUCAGCCACACUGGGACUGAGACACGGCCCAGACUCCUACGGAGGCAGCAGUGGGGAAUAUUGGACAAUGGGCGCAAGCCUGAUGCAGCCAUGCCGCGUGUAUGAAGAAGGCCCUAGGGUUGUAAAGUACUUUCAGUCGGGAGGCGUUACCGACAGAAGAAGCACCGGCUAACUCCGUGCCAGCAGCCGCGGUAAUUC